GACGAACGCUGGCGGCGUGCCUAAUACAUGCCAGUCGAACGCACAGUUUAUACCGUAGCUUGCUACACCAUAGACUGUGAGUUGCGAACGGGUGAGUAACGCGUAGGUAACCUGCCUGGUAGCGGGGGAUAACUAUUGGAAACGAUAGCUAAUACCGCAUAAUAUUGAUUAUUGCAUGAUAAUUGAUUGAAAGAUGCUAUUGCAUCACUACCAGAUGGACCUGCGUUGUAUUAGCUAGUAGGUGAGGUAACGGCUCACCUAGGCGACGAUACAUAGCCGACCUGAGAGGGUGAUCGGCCACACUGGGACUGAGACACGGCCCAGACUCCUACGGGAGGCAGCAGUAGGGAAUCUUCGGCAAUGGACGAAAGUCUGACCGAGCAACGCCGCGUGAGUGAAGAAGGUUUUCGGAUCGUAAAGCUCUGUUGUAAGAGAAGAACGGGUGUGAGAGUGGAAAGUUCACACUGUGACGGUAUCUUACCAGAAAGGGACGGCUAACUACGUG
rnacentral:rRNA from 1 species